rnacentral:rRNA from 1 species
CGGUGAAAGUUUGCAGCUUAACUGUAAAAUUGCCGUUGAUACUGGUAUUCUUGAGUGUAUAUGAAGUAGGCGGAAUUUGUGGUGUAGCGGUGAAAUGCAUAGAUAUCACAAGGAACUCCAAUUGCGAAGGCAGCUUACUAAAAUACAACUGACGCUCAGGCACGAAGGCGUGGGUAUCAAACAGGAUUAGAUACCCUGGUAGUCCACGCAGUAAACAAUGAUUACUCGCUGUUUGCGAUACACAGUAAGCGGCUUAGCGAAAGCGUUAAGUAAUCCACCUGGGGAGUACGUUCGCAAGAAUGAAACUCAAAGGAAUUGACGGGGGCCCGCACAAGCGGAGGAACAUGUGGUUUAAUUCGAUGAUACGCGAGGAACCUUACCCGGGCUUGAAAUACAUUUGACCGGCUCAGAGACGAGCCUUCCCUUCGGGGCAAAUGUGUAGGUGCUGCAUGGUUGUCGUCAGCUCGUGCCGUGAGGUGUCGGCUUAAGUGCCAUAACGAGCGCAACCCUCAUCAUUAGUUACUAACAGGUUAAGCUGAGGACUCUAAUGAGACUGCCAUCGUAAGAUGCGAGGAAGGUGGGGAUGACGUCAAAUCAGCACGGCCCUUAUGUCCGGGGCGACACACGUGUUACAAUGGAUGGUACAACAGGCAGCUACUUGGCGACAAGAUGCUAAUCCCAAAAACCAUUCUCAGUUCGGAUCGAAGUCUGCAACUCGACUUCGUGAAGCUGGAUUCGCUAGUAAUCGCGCAUCAGCCACGGCGCGGUGAAUACGUUCCCGGGCCUUGUACACACCGCCCAAGGG